GACGAACGCUGGCGGCGUGCCUAAUACAUGCAAGUUGAGCGCUGAAGGUUGGUACUUGUACCAACUGGAUGAGCAGCGAACGGGUGAGUAACGCGUGGGGAAUCUGCCUUUGAGCGGGGGACAACAUUUGGAAACGAAUGCUAAUACCGCAUAAAAACUUUAAACACAAGUUUUAAGUUUGAAAGAUGCAAUUGCAUCACUCAAAGAUGAUCCCGCGUUGUAUUAGCUAGUUGGUGAGGUAAAGGCUCACCAAGGCGAUGAUACAUAGCCGACCUGAGAGGGUGAUCGGCCACAUUGGGACUGAGACACGGCCCAAUCUCCUACGGGAGGCAGCAGUAGGGAAUCUUCGGCAAUGGACGAAAGUCUGACCGAGCAACGCCGCGUGAGUGAAGAAGGUUUUCGGAUCGUAAAACUCUGUUGGUAGAGAAGAACGUUGGUGAGAGUGGAAAGCUCAUCAAGUGACGGUAACUACCCAGAAAGGGACGGCUAACUACGUG
rnacentral:rRNA from 1 species